CAAUGGGGGGAAGCCGGAUGCAGACACUUUCCCCAAUGGGAUGAGGGCUCUGUCCCCAUGUAAGCCGACCCAAGUCCCUUUGAGGAGAUGGAGGCAGAAAUCUCCACAGGCAACUGGGCAUGCUGGUGUAUAACAAAGAAGAACAGGUACAGCAACAAGACAUCCCAAGGGCUUCUGUUUCCUUUCAGGAGCCUCAAUGAGAGACUAAUGAAAGAAAAUUGGAAAGAGGAGGCAGCAGAUAUGAAAUAUGAAGCAAGGCGUCCGGAGAUGAAAUAAUACCCCUGCUAAGGGAAUGUGCAUGUCACCGCAGCAAAUUAAGAGGGGAUGGAAUCACAGAAAAUCAACAUGAGGCUGGAAGAUCAGAUGUAAAAAUCCCCAAUGAGAUUGCUGUACUAGUGUUUACUACUACAGAAUUACCCACAGCUGUAUUCCAGUUGAGUCAAGAAGUUAAUUAGAAAACCUAAGCUGGUCAAAAUACCAAACUAAAAAUGAUGGGUUUUGAAUGACUAAAAUGACAAAUAAAAUAAACAGGCUAUAUCAUA